GUACUGGCUUUGGCAGCACAUAUACUAAUAUUAGAACAAUACAAAGGAGAUUAGCUUGGCUGGUUAACAAGGAUGACACAAAUUUGUGAAGUGUUCCCUAUUUUU